rnacentral:rRNA from 1 species
UGGGGAAUCUUGGACAAUGGGCGCAAGCCUGAUCCAGCCAUGCCGCGUGAGUGAAGAAGGCCUUAGGGUUGUAAAGCUCUUUUGCCAGGGACGAUAAUGACGGUACCUGGAGAAUAAGCCCCGGCAAACUUCGUGCCAGCAGCCGCGGUAAUACGAAGGGGGCUAGCGUUGUUCGGAUUUACUGGGCGUAAAGCGCACGUAGGCGGGUCGUUAAGUCAGGGGUGAAAUCCCGGAGCUCAACCCCGGAACUGCCUUUGAUACUGGCGACCUUGAGGCUGGAAGAGGUUAGUGGAAUUCCCAGUGUGGAGGUGAAAUUCGUAGAUAUUGGGAAGAACACCAGUGGCGAAGGCGGCUAACUGGUCCAGAUCUGACGCUGAGGUGCGAAAGCGUGGGGAGCAAACA